rnacentral:tRNA from 1 species
GAAGCUGUGGCCAAAAGGUAAAGGCAGCCUCAAUAAAUGGCUUUUUGAGGGUUCGAUUCCCUCCAGCUUCA